rnacentral:rRNA from 1 species
UACAGAGGGUGCGAGCGUUGUUCGGAUUUACUGGGCGUAAAGGGCGCGUAGGCGGCAUAUUAAGUCAUCUGUGAAAUCUCCGAGCUUAACUCGGAACUGUCAGCUGAUACUGAUGUGCUAGAGUGCGGAAGGGGCAAUCGGAAUUCUUGGUGUAGCGGUGAAAUGCGUAGAUAUCAAGAGGAACACCUGAGGUGAAGACGGGUUGCUGGGCCGACACUGACGCUGAGUGCGCGAAAGCCAGGGGAGCAAACGGG